ensembl:miRNA
GUCAAGCUCAUCUCCUUAUCACUUUUCCAGCCCAGCUAUCAAUUGAAAAAUGUGUUGGACGGAGAACUGAUAAGGGCUAUGUGUCUGA